rnacentral:rRNA from 1 species
AACCUGGUUGAUCCUGCCAGUAGUUAUAUGCUUGUCUCAAAGGUUAAGCCAUGCAUGUCUCAGUAUGAGUGCUUCUACGGCGAAACUGCGAAUGGCUCAUUAAAUCAGUUACGGUUUAUUUGAUGACUUGUGACACGGAUAACUGGGGAAAUUCUUCAGCCAAUACGUGCUUCUAAGCCGACUUUGUGGAAGGUGAGUAUUUGCUCGAUUCUGAACCAACCCAGAUCUUCUGGGCUUUAAGUUGAGCGGAGAGUAAAUCUGUCCAAUCGCAUUGCACCGCGAUGCGAUGCAUCAUUCAAGUUUCUGACCUAUCAGCUUCCGAUUGUAGGGUAUUGGCUUACCAUGGCGAUGACGGGUAACAGCGAAUUUGGGUUCAGUUCUGGAGAGGGAGCCUGAGAAACGGCUACCACAUCUAAGGAAGGCAGCAGGCGCGUAACUUACCCAAUUCUGACACGGAGAGGUAGUGACAAGAAAUAACGAUACAGGGCAUUCAUGUCUUGUACUUGGGCUGAGUAGAAUGUAACGACUCUAUGAGUAUCAAUGGGAGGGCAGUCUGNGCCGCAGCGCGGUACUCAGCUCANAGCGUAUAUGAGUGUGCGUAAAAGCUCGUCGUGGAUUCUGUGAGUCGACAGUGCG